rnacentral:rRNA from 1 species
UACGGAGGGCGUAAGCGUUAAUCGGAAUUACUGGGCGUAAAGCGCGCGUAGGCGGCUAGAUAAGUCGGAUGUGAAAGCUCUGGGCUCAACCUGGGAACUGCAUACGAUACUGUCUGGCUAGAGUAUGAGAGAGGGAGGUAGAAUUCCACGUGUAGCGGUGAAAUGCGUAGAUAUGUGGAGGAAUAUCGGUGGCGAAGGCGGCCUCCUGGCUUAAUACUGACGCUGAGGUGCGAAAGCGUGGGGAGCAAACAGG